UAGGGAAUCUUCGGCAAUGGACGGAAGUCUGACCGAGCAACGCCGCGUGAGUGAAGAAGGUUUUCGGAUCGUAAAGCUCUGUUGUAAGAGAAGAACGAGUGUGAGAGUGGAAAGUUCACACUGUGACGGUAUCUUACCAGAAAGGGACGGCUAACUACGUGCCAGCAGCCGCGGUAAUACGUAGGUCCCGAGCGUUGUCCGGAUUUAUUGGGCGUAAAGCGAGCGCAGGCGGUUAGAUAAGUCUGAAGUUAAAGGCUGUGGCUCAACCAUAGUUCGCUUUGGAAACUGUCAAACUUGAGUGCAGAAGGGGAGAGUGGAAUUCCAUGUGUAGCGGUGAAAUGCGUAGAUAUAUGGAGGAACACCGGUGGCGAAAGCGGCUCUCUGGUCUGUAACUGACGCUGAGGCUCGAAAGCGUGGGGAGCGAACAGGAUUAGAUACCCUGGUAGUCCACGCCGUAAACGAUGAGUGCUAGGUGUUGGAUCCUUUCCGGGAUUCAGUGCCGCAGCUAACGCAUUAAGCACUCCGCCUGGGGAGUACGACCGCAAGGUUG
rnacentral:rRNA from 1 species